AGAUUGACUUUUGGAAGAGGCCAAAUAUCAAUGCUGAUGUAGAUAUUGAUGUACCUAUCAAAGUGUAUGAUGACGUCACUCAACAAUUGUCACGUGUUGACCUUAAGCCUACUUUAUUAGUUCAUGAUAUACAAAGUGUUAUGGACCAAGAGGAAGCUUCCAUGGAGAUCCCUGAUUACGUCAUUGAUUCAACAGGUGCGAUGGCAUCUCCAGCACUCAAACUAAGGAAUACGGAUAUUGUCGGAAAAUUUGCACGACAUGCCGAGAUUGACAGUUGGCUCUUAAGGAUGGCAUCAAAAUACUCUGCAAUUGCAAAAAUAGAGUCUAUCGGCAUAACAUAUGAAGGCAGAGAUAUGAAAGUUAUCAAGGUACAAUG